ACACGUGUGUUGUGGCAGCUGCACACGUGUUUGGGGCUGUACACGUGUGUUUGGGGCUGUACACGUGUGUAUGGGCUGUACACGUGUGU